CCCAUGCCGAACUCAGAAGUGAAACGCCGUAGCGCCGAUGGUAGUGUGGGGUCUCCCCAUGUGAGAGUAGGGAACUGCCAAGC
rnacentral:rRNA from 1 species